rnacentral:rRNA from 1 species
UACGAAGGGGGCUAGCGUUGCUCGGAAUCACUGGGCGUAAAGGGUGCGUAGGCGGGUCUUUAAGUCAGGGGUGAAAUCCUGGAGCUCAACUCCAGAACUGCCUUUGAUACUGAGGAUCUUGAGUUCGGGAGAGGUGAGUGGAACUGCGAGUGUAGAGGUGAAAUUCGUAGAUAUUCGCAAGAACACCAGUGGCGAAGGCGGCUCACUGGCCCGAGUACUGACGCUGAGGCACGAAAAGCGUGGGGAGCAAACAGGG